rnacentral:rRNA from 1 species
UAGGGAAUCUUCCGCAAUGGACGCAAGUCUGACGGAGCAACGCCGCGUGAGUGAAGAAGGAUUUCGGUUCGUAAAACUCUGUUGUUAGAGAAGAACAGCGCAUAGAGUAACUGUUAUGCGUGUGACGGUAUCUAACCAGAAAGCCACGGCUAACUACGUGCCAGCAGCCGCGGUAAUACGUAGGUGGCAAGCGUUGUCCGGAUUUAUUGGGCGUAAAGCGAGCGCAGGCGGUCAAUUAAGUCUGAUGUGAAAGCCCCCGGCUCAACCGGGGAGGGUCAGUGGAAACUGGUUGACUUGAGUGCAGAAGAGGAGGGUGGAAUUCCAUGUGUAGCGGUGAAAUGCGUAGAUAUAUGGAGGAACACCAGUGGCGAAGGCGACUCUCUGGUCUGUAACUGACGCUGAGGCUCGAAAGCGUGGGUAGCAAACAGG